UGCCAGCCGCCGCGGUAAUACGGAGGGUGCAAGCAUUAAUCGGAUUUAUUGGGCGUAAAGAGCGCGUAGGCGGAGAUGUAAGUCAGACGUGAAAUCCCGAAGCUCAACUUCGGAACUGCAUUUGAAACUACAUCCCUAGAGGAUAGGCGGAGAAAACGGAAUUCCACAUGUAGCGGUGAAAUGCGUAGAUAUGUGGAGGAACACCCGUGGCGAAAGCGGUUUUCUAGCUUAUUCCUGACGCUGAGGCGCGAAAGCAAGGGGAGCGAACAGGAUUAGAUA
rnacentral:rRNA from 1 species